GAGCGGAGGGGGGCCCACUCCUAUCCCGCCGGGGGAUCUAGCAUAUCAAUAAGCGGAGGAAAAGAAACCAACAGGGAUUGCCUCAGUAACGGCGAGUGAAGCGGCAACAGCUCAAAUUUGAAAUCUGGCUCCUUCGGGGCCCGAGUUGUAAUUUGCAGAGGAUGCGUCGGGUACGGGUGCCUUCCGAGUUCCCUGGAACGGGACGCCAUAGAGGGUGAGAGCCCCGUCUGGUAGGACACCCAGCCCGUGUGACGCUCCCUCGACGAGUCGAGUAGUUUGGGAAUGCUGCUCUAACGGGAGGUAUACUCCUUCCAAGGCUAAAUACCGGCUGGAGACCGAUAGCGCACAAGUAGAGUGAUCGAAAGAUGAAAAGCACUUUGAAAAGAGAGUCAAACAGCACGUGAAAUUGUUAAAAGGGAAGCGCUCGCUACCAGACUUGGGUUCGGCGGUUCAACCGGGGCCACGCCCCGGGGCAUUCCGCCGGCCCAGGCCAGCAUCAGCUUUCCGUCGGGGGUAAAGGCGUCGGGAAUGUGGCUCCCCUUCGGGGGAGUGUUAUAGCCCGUCGUGUCAUACCCUUCGGGGGGCUGAGGUACGCGCUUCUGCAAGGAUGCUGGCGUAAUGGUAGCUAGUGACCCGUCUUGAAACACGGACCAAGGAGUCAACCUUAUGUGCGAGUGCCCGGGCGUAAAACCCCAGCGCGGAAUGAAAGUGAACGUAGGUGAGAGCUUCGGCGCAUCACCGACCGAUCCUGAUGUCCUCGGACGGAUUUGAGUGAGAGCAUAUAGGGUUGGACCCGAAAGAAGAUGAACUAUGCGUGUGUAGGGUGAAGCCAGAGGAAACUCUGGUGGAGGCUCGCAGCGGUUCUGACGUGCAAAUCGAUCGUCAAACAUGCGCAUGGGGGCGAAAGACUAAUCGAAUCUUCUGGUAGCUGGUUUCCGCGAUUUUUCCCCCCCAGAAGAGUAAAAACCCGUGCAAAUAUUCAUAC
rnacentral:rRNA from 1 species